GGCGGAGUAAGGCGUGCCGCUGCAAACUGGCCUCUGGGCCGGGGGCGAGCAGCCCCCGGGAGGCCGAGUGCAUCUGUUGGACCGUGCGAGGAGAAGAAAAAAAAUAUCGGCCAGAGGAGAGGAACUAACCGAACAUUCUUCCUCCCUACCUUAUAGAGGGGAGUGGUCAUCUACACUAAAGCAAAGUGUUAGGCGCGUCCGUGCGAAGAGACCACCAAACAGGCUUUGUGUUCCUUAUCACAGGAAGAAAAUUUUCCUUGACCUUUAGGUGCUUUUAUAUUCAUCUCAAAAACAAAAUUCUGAACUCAGGACUUGAAUUGCUUGAAUCCGGGAGGCGGAGGUUGCAGUGAACUGAGAUUGCACCACUGCACUCCAGCCUGGGCGACAGAGUGAGACUCCGUCUCAGAAAAAUAAAAAACAACUUUGGACAUAGAGGAGUUGGGGGCAGAGGGGGGAGGAUGAGAGAAUUUUCCAUGUAACUCCUUUUCCUUAAGAAAAAGAAGCAAAAAUCCCUCAUGCAGUGCCAUCUGACUUUAUGGUGUUUCACAUUAUAUAGUUACUUUUUUUAAUAAACGCAUAAGAUUAACUCUUCCUGCAACCCAAGGUGGAUACUUGGAUGUUUGAUUUUUAUUUAUUUAUUUAUUUAUUUUUUGAGGCAGUCUCUCUCUGUUGCCCAGGCUGGAGUGAUGCGUGAUUUCUGCUCACUGCAGUCUCUCCCACCCGGGUUCAAGCGAUUCUCCUGCCUCAGCCUCCCAAGUAGCUAGGAUUACAGGCGCGCACCACCACGCUCAGCCUGAUUUCUAGGCUGAAAAGGCUGGGACUCAGGUACUUUCCCCAGUUGGGACUGAACUUUCUCAUCAGAGAAUGGGCCUCAGAAGCAAUGUUCCCAAACUUGUGGUUGGGUCAUCGUGGAAAAG
rnacentral:lncRNA from 1 species